rnacentral:rRNA from 1 species
UACGUAGGGUGCAAGCGUUGUCCGGAAUUAUUGGGCGUAAAGAGCUCGUAGGCGGUCUGUCGCGUCUGCUGUGAAAACUCAGGGCUUAACCCUGAGCUUGCAGUGGGUACGGGCAGACUAGAGUGCGGUAGGGGAGACUGGAAUUCCUGGGUGUAGCGGUGAAAUGCGCAGAUAUCAGGAGGAACACCAGCGGCGGAAAGGCGGCGCUCUGGGCCGGAACUGAACGCUGGAGGGAAGCGAAAGCGUGGGUAGCAAACAGG